AACCUCCGCAAUGUGAGAAAUCGCGACGGGGGGAUCCCAAGUGCCAUUCUUAACGGGAUGGCUUUUCAUUAGUGUAAAGAGCUUUUGGAAUAAGAGCUGGGCAAGACCGGUGCCAGCCGCCGCGGUAACACCGGCAGCUCUAGUGGUAACAAUUUUUAUUGGGCCUAAAGCGUCCGUAGCCGGUUUAAUAAGUCUCUGGUGAAAUCCUGUAGCUUAACUGUGGGAAUUGCUGGAGAUACUAUUAGACUUGAGACCGGGAGAGGUUAGAGGUACUCCCAGGGUAGAGGUGAAAUUCUGUAAUCCUGGGAGGACCGCCUGUUGCGAAGGCGUCUAACUGGAACGGUUCUGACGGUGAGGGACGAAAGUUAGGGGCGCGAACCGGAUUAGAUACCCGGGUAGUCCUAACUGUAACGAUGCGGACUUGGUGUUGGGGUGGCUUUGAGCUGCUCCAGUGCCGAGGAAGCUGUUAGUCCGCCGCCUGGGAAGUACGGUCGCAAGACUGAAACUUAAAGGAAUU
rnacentral:rRNA from 1 species